UUAUAUACAGAUUUCAAGUAGAUUUGAGUUCCCUCUUUAUAAAAAUCUACAGUGCGCCCACCUAUGUGUCAAGAUGAGUAUUGUCUAAGAGGCAUUUGGCCCUUGCCAAAAGAUCAAAUCGAGAAAAUGACAGAUAGGUUAGGAAAUAAUGAAGAAAGAUGCUUGGCUUCUCAAGGGCAGGCUGAAGAUUUUUAAGUGAUCUAAAUUCCCUCUAGCUGUGAGGGGCCCCUCCGUACCUUAUGCUGUUAAGUGCAUUAUCAAAUCCACUAUUGAUAAAUCAAAGGCGAGAGUUGGAACAGAAAGAAGAGGGCGAAGGUCUUUAAAUCACCUAAGCUCCCAGUACUACAGUAAACAAAGGGAGUUCUUGUGCUGUCCUUUCUUGCCAUUCCGCCAACCACAAUCAUGGGUUUCAUCUUAACCAGAGCCCUUAUACUGCUCGUAUGCAUCUUCUUCUUAGCAUCGGACCUGGAUAAAGUCCAGGGGGUAGUAAGUGUAAAGCUCGGUUUUGGAAGGGAACAAGAAGUUCAGGGAAAAGCACCCCAGAGUCGACGCAGUUUGAAGACUGUCGGUAAAGUGGGCAUGAACGCAAAGAAAUCUUCCAGUGUGACGAAGACAUUUGAUCCUAACAUGUCAAGCAAAAGAAAAGUCCGAGGAGGUUCGGAUCCCAUCCACAACAGGUCCUAAAUCUGUUCGAGUUUGUUCCGUUCGACUAAAAGAAAAGGUCAAGCAAGCUAAUUAGUCAGAUUGGAAGAAAAGAGUUUCCUCGGAGAUGUGAAGGCUAGCAUUUAUAAUUA